rnacentral:lncRNA from 10 species
CUGCCUUGAGAGAAGAUGUCAUCUUCAACUGGGGGAUGCAGUCAGCCUGAGAAAUGAGUCCAGCCCAUACUCAGAAGAGAAGAGUACACAAGGGCAUGGAGACUAGGAGACAGGAACCAACGGAGGCCAUCUUGGAGGCUGUCUAGGGGAAAUCAUCUGGAAUAUUCCAUUUCUCUGACUGCAGUCAUUGGCUCAUGGAUAGGCACAUGAUCCAAACCUGGCCAACGAGACUUCACCCUGGAACUUUGGCUGAAACUCUUGGGAAAGAAAUCUCUUUUUACUACAGUUUGUAUGAUAUAAGCAUGGAGCCUCAGUGGCCAACUCUGUCACCAUCUGGAAAAAGCACCUUGAAAAUAAGAGCAACAUAGAGGAAAAUAUGACCAAAAGAUGAAAAUGAAAUAUUGCUAGUGCCGUUGUUUGAACAACUUGAUCCAGAUAUAUCUAGAGCCAGGCCUAUCCCUAGAUUUUUCUGUUGCAUGAUCCAAUAAAAAAGACUUCUCUUUUUGGCUUAAGCUAACUUAAGCUACCUUAAGCUGGGCUUAUUUCACUUACUUCUGAAAGACAUCUGAUAUACAGAUACAGUAUAAUAAAGAUAUGUCAUUACCUUUUAAAAAUUUCUGUCUAGUAAAAAAGAAUCAGCAAGAACUUUGGUGUGAUUGGAGUGAUGAUAGAAAAAUGACUUCUUAGGAUUGUAGUAAACUAUUUAUUCACUCUGUACCCUAAAUAUGAGAUAAUUUCUUUUCUUCUUCUUUUUUUUUGAAAGACAGGGUUUUGUUAUGUUGCCUAGGCCGGUCUCAAACUCCUGGGCUCAAGUGGUCCUCCCACCUUGGCUCCCAGAGUGCUAGGAUUACAGGCAUGAGCCACUGCACACAGCAAAGAGAAUUUCAGUUCGCUUGUCCUAAGUCCUUGUCUCAUUGUAACACCAGGUAGAGCAGCUCUCUGCUUUGCUUCUGAUGCUUAGCUGGCUGUUUGUGUCUGGAUGAACUUUGGUUUGGAAGGUAAUUUUACCAGAAAUUAGUGUUUCUCAACCAGGGAUAAUUUUGCAAUGUCUAGAGACAUAUUUGGUUGUCACAUCAGAGCAGGAAGUGUGCUACCGUCAUCUAAUAGGUAGAGGCCAGGUAACCCUCUACACAUCCUAAAAUGUGCAGAACAGCCCUGACAACAAAUAAUUCUCCAGUCCAAAAUGUCAGUAGUGCUAAGGUUCACAACUGCAGCUCUAAAUUAUCUGUGGGUAAGAUAGCAAACUACAGUGGGAGGUUGUGUUCACUUGUUUAUGGUUAACUAGUAAUAUAAAGAGGUCCAAGCUUGAACAUGCAUGUAGAACAUGUUGCUUGGAGGAGAAUCUGUUGUCAUUCUGCUUCAUAUGGUGGGCCCUAAGGCUUGGAAGAUGGCACAACAGAGAAUGGGUUCUUAACGUUUUUCAAUAGCUGUUCACUGAUGGAUUCCUCUGACAUAUAUUCAUUCAUGCUGUCUGUUGUGUUCUCAUAGAGCAAUGUCCAUUUCAGGAUGAUCUGGUGUGCUAAGAAAAAUAAAAGAUUUAGGAUCCCCUUGAUGGGAUCUAGUUCUAUACCAUGCUCACAAAUAAAAAUUAACAUCUACAUCCUGAUUUUAACAAUGAGGGACUUUUGUUGUAGCUGAAAAGCAGAGCAAUUAAUAUUUUAAUCUGACAUUAAGAUCUGAAUGGAAAAACUGGGAAUGAAAAAUAUAAUCGUACUCUUCCUAUUAGCAGGAAAUUUAAUUUUUGCAUGAUCUGAUGGUGUUUAGCUUCUCUAAUGCUUCCUCUUACCCUUUCCUGGGGAUAUGUUUUGAGGCCCAUCCAGUAUUGCUGUUAAUGGAAACAUGUUAUUUCAUUUGUUUAUUCACGUAUUUAAUACACAUUUGCAUAUUCCCCUGGAAUGCCUAGCUCAUAGUGAGUAUUCAAUACUCUUUACACUGUUCUUUGUUAUAAAAGAUUCUCCAAUCUUCAAAAACAGGUUCAUAAGUUGGGGCCCUCCUGGGGUCUGAGGGCUUGGGAGGGUUAAGGUUUGUUAUUGAAGAUCCCAGGGCUGCCUCACAUGGUGGCUAAAGCUGUGUCAAGCAGGAGGGAGCACGUGGGGGGACCAGUGGCAGGGGUGCAGAUUCCAGCCCAUGCUCCCAUUUCCAAGCUGUGUGCUUGACCUGGGGCUGAGUUCACCAAAGAUCCUGACCACUGGCCAAGCCAUGCUCCCUAGGGGACUACAUCCCUCUAUAAGGGUGCCCUGCCUUCAGUGGAGGCUAGUGGAGGCCCUGUAAGGAUGAGAACCCAUAACUAAACACCCAUUGGCUAUUUGGCAAAGACUUUUCAACAUGUGUGCAGGUGUUCUUGAGCUCCUGGAGCCUUAUUGCAGAUUUCCAUUACCCACGCCUACAUCUGGGUUCAUAGGCAGUAUAAUUAUCAUUGCAGCGAGACCCUAUUAAGUCCUACUUCCCAACCAGGAAAAGAUGGCAGGUACUUAAUAGGACCUGACACACACCCAGAGACAAAUUAGUUGGGCACUGUGCUGAGAGCAGGCACCUGUGUCUUCCACUUGAGGCCCAGGAUGUCUUUAGGUUUUACUGCAGGAUAAUCAUUUGGAAGUAGAACUGGGAUGUUAUGCUUCACCUCCUGCAGUUAAUGAUUAGCUAAGCCACUUAACCAGGAAGGUCAGUGAAAGGGAACCACUUUGAAUCAAAAGGUGAGGUCUGAGAGGUCAUCUGCAGUGACCCAGAUCCAAGAAAUGAAGCAGAGAGGCUGUUCCAAGCCCACUGCACUAUUCUUCUCCCUCCUGGGUUUCCCUUCUCAGUGAGUAGCACCACCAUUCUCCCCAGUAUUCAAGUUGGAGACCUGGCUGUCACUCUGGCCUCCGUCUUUCACUCCCAGCUGGAAGAGUGACUGGAUUCUGUCUAUGCCUCUUUAGUGCCUCCUUCAUCACCCCCACCUCUUCACCCUCAGAACCUCACCACCUCAGUCCAUUGGUCACCAUCUGUCAUCUGACCUAUUACAAUGGGGUGUGUCCCCACCUCUAGUCCCCUCUCCAGGCAGCUGCCCCCAGGAAGGUGAAAACACAAAUCUGAUCAUCCAUUUCCUGGCAGGGACAGUGCCUAUGACUUGGCCUCCACCCAAUCUUCCUAUCUCAUCUCUCUUGAGCCCCUAGCUCCUGGAGUCUGGCCUGGGAAACACCUUGCAAUGUUCUGGAUUAACCAGGCCGCCUCAUGGCUCUGCACUUUAACCCGUGCUGCAGCUUUGGCCUUAGCCUCCUUUCUGCCUGUCCUUCUGAUGAGCAUCUAGCUUCUCAACCAUGCAAGUCUACUCCUGUGUCUCCCCCUCGAGAAAAC